rnacentral:tRNA from 1 species
AGGGGUGUAGCUCAGUUGGUAGAGCAGCGGUCUCCAAAACCGCCGGUCGUG